CCCUUAGAUGUUCUGGGCUGCACGCGCGCUACACUGAAGCGUUCAACGAGUAUUCACCUUGCCCGGGAGGGUUGGGUAAUCUUUUGAAAACGCUUCGUGAUGGGGAUAGAUUAUUGCAAUUAUUAAUCUUCAACGAGGAAUUCCUAGUAAGCGCGAGUCAUCAGCUCGUGCUGAUUACGUCCCUGCCCUUUGUACACACCGCCCGUCGCUCCUACCGAUUGAAUGGUCCGGUGAAGCGUUCGGACCGUGGCCUUUGGACGGUUCGCCGUCUGUUGGCUGCGGGAAGUUCGUUAAACCUUAUCAUUUAGAGGAAGGAGAANUCGUAACA
rnacentral:rRNA from 1 species